rnacentral:sRNA from 1 species
CCUGGGACUUGCGUCCCAGGCUGUCGCAUGGCGUCGCUUCGCGACU